CAUAAGCCAGCUUGACUGCGAGCGUGACGGCGCGAGCAGGUGCGAAAGCAGGUCAUAGUGAUCCGGUGGUUCUGAAUGGAAGGGCCAUCGCUCAACGGAUAAAAGGUACUCCGGGGAUAACAGGCUGAUACCGCCCAAGAGUUCAUAUCGACGGCGGUGUUUGGCACCUCGAUGUCGGCUCAUCACAUCCUGGGGCUGAAGUAGGUCCCAAGGGUAUGGCUGUUCGCCAUUUAAAGUGGUACGCGAGCUGGGUUUAGAACGUCGUGAGACAGUUCGGUCCCUAUCUGCCGUGGGCGCUGGAGAACUGAGGGGGGCUGCUCCUAGUACGAGAGGACCGGAGUGGACGCAUCACUGGUGUUCGGGUUGUCAUGCCAAUGGCACUGCCCGGUAGCUAAAUGCGGAAGAGAUAAGUGCUGAAAGCAUCUAAGCACGAAACUUGCCCCGAGAUGAGUUCUCCCUGACUCCUUGAGAGUCCUGAAGGAACGUUGAAGACGACGACGUUGAUAGGCCGGGUGUGUAAGCGCAGCGAUGCGUUGAGCUAACCGGUACUAAUGAACCGUGAGGCUUAACCUUACAACGCCGAAGCUGUU
rnacentral:rRNA from 1 species